rnacentral:tRNA from 1 species
UAGAAAGUGGUGUAGUGGGAGCACUUGGAGUUUUGAUCUCCGUGGUAUGGGUUCGAGUCCCUUCUUUCUAG